rnacentral:rRNA from 1 species
GCUACAAGCGUGCCAGCGGCGACGGUAAUAGGGAGGGGGGGAGGGUUAAUCGGAAGUACAGGGAGUAAAGGGUGCGCAGGCGGUUUGGUAAGACAGGCGUGAAAUCCCCGGGCGUAACCUGGGAACUGCGCUGGGGACUGCCAGGCUAGAGUACGGCAGAGGGGGGUGGAAGUCAACGUGUAGCAGUGAAAUGCGUAGAGAUGUGGAGGAACACCAAUGGCGAAGGCAGCCCCCUGGGUCGAUACUGACGCUCAUGCACGAAAGCGUGGGUAGCAAACAGGAUUAGAUACCCUGGUAGUC